GACGAACCACACAAACGUUAUUCGGAAUUACUGGGCUUAAAGGGUGCGUAGGCGGCGUGGAAAGUUGGGUGUGAAAUCCCUCAGCUUAACUGAGGAACAGCGCCCAAAACUACCAUGCUCGAGGGAGAUAGAGGAAUGCGGAACUUAGGGUGGAGCGGUGAAAUGCGUUGAUAUCCUAGGGAACACCGGUGGCGAAAGCGGCAUUCUGGAUCUCUUCUGACGCUGAGGCACGAAAGCUAGGGUAGCAAACGGGG
rnacentral:rRNA from 1 species